rnacentral:rRNA from 2 species
UGGGGAAUAUUGGGCAAUGGGGGAAACCCUGACCCAGCAACGCCGCGUGAAGGAAGAAGGCUUUCGGGUUGUAAACUUCUUUUAAGAGGGACGAAGAAGUGACGGUACCUCUUGAAUAAGCCACGGCUAACUACGUGCCAGCAGCCGCGGUAAUACGUAGGUGGCAAGCGUUGUCCGGAUUUACUGGGUGUAAAGGGCGCGUAGGCGGGACUGUAAGUCAGAUGUGAAAUCUGGGGGCUUAACCCUCAAACUGCAUUUGAAACUGUGGUUCUUGAGUAUCGGAGAGGCAGGCGGAAUUCCCAGUGUAGCGGUGAAAUGCGUAGAUAUUGGGAGGAACACCAGUGGCGAAGGCGGCCUGCUGGACGACAACUGACGCUGAGGCGCGAAAGCGUGGGGAGCAAACAGG